rnacentral:rRNA from 1 species
GACGAACGCUGGCGGCGUGCCUAAUACAUGCAAGUAGAACGCUGAAGGAGGAGCUUGCUUCUCUGGAUGAGUUGCGAACGGGUGAGUAACGCGUAGGUAACCUGCCUGGUAGCGGGGGAUAACUAUUGGAAACGAUAGCUAAUACCGCAUAAUAGUAGAUGUCGCAUGACAUUUGCUUAAAAGGUGCAAUUGCAUCACUACCAGAUGGACCUGCGUUGUAUUAGCUAGUUGGUGAGGUAACGGCUCACCAAGGCAACGAUACAUAGCCGACCUGAGAGGGUGAUCGGCCACCCUGGGACUGAGACACGGCCCAGACUCCUACGGGAGGCAGCAGUAGGGAAUCUUCGGCAAUAGACGGAAGUCUGACCGAGCAACGCCGCGUGAGUGAAGAAGGUUUUCGGAUCGUAAAGCUCUGUUGUAAGAGAAGAACGAGUGUGAGAGUGGAAAGUUCACACUGUGACGGUAUCUUACCAGAAAGGGACGGCUAACUACGUG